CCUUACGGGCGGUGUGUGCAAUUGCAGUUGAUACUGCGUCGCUUGAGUGCACACAGGGAUGUUGGAAUUCAUGGUGUAGCGGUGAAAUGCUUAGAUAUCAUGAAGAACUCCGAUCGCGAAGGCAUAUGUCCGGAGUGCAACCGACGCUGAGGCUCGAAAGUGUGGGUAUCAAACAGGAUUAGAUACCCUGGUAGUCCACACAGUAAACGAUGAAUACUCGCGGUUGGUUCGUUAGAGUCAGCCGCCAAGCGAAAGCGUUAAGUAUUCCACCUGGGGAGUACGCCGGCAACGGUGAAACUCAAAGGAAUUGACGGGGGCCCGCACAAGCGGAGGAACAUGUGGUUUAAUUCGAUGAUACGCGAGGAACCUUACCCGGGCUUGAACUGCCAGUGACUCAUGCAGAGACGCAUGUUUCUUCGGACACUGGCGGAGGUGCUGCAUGGUUGUCGUCAGCUCGUGCCGUGAGGUGUCGGCUUAAGUGCCAUAACGAGCGCAACCCUUCUCCCUGUUUGCCAUCGGGUUAAGCCGGGCACUCCAGGGACACUGCCAUCGUAAGAUGUGAGGAAGGUGGGGAUGACGUCAAAUCAGCACGGCCCUUACGUCCGGGGCUACACACGUGUUACAAUGGGCGGUACAGAAAGCAGCUACCCCGCGAGGGGAUGCCAAUCUCAAAAACCGUUCUCAGUUCGGACUGGAGUCUGCAACCCGACUCCACGAAGCUGGAUUCGCUAGUAAUCGCGCAUCAGCCAUGGCGCGGUGAAUACGUUCCCGGGCCUUGCACACACCGCCCGUA
rnacentral:rRNA from 1 species